rnacentral:rRNA from 1 species
GGACGAACGCUGGCGGCGUGCCUAAUACAUGCAAGUCGAGCGAACAGAAGGGAGCUUGCUCCCGGAUGUUAGCGGCGGACGGGUGAGUAACACGUGGGUAACCUGCCUGUAAGACUGGGAUAACUCCGGGAAACCGGAGCUAAUACCGGAUAGUUCAAUGAACCGCAUGGUUCAAUGAUGAAAGACGGUUUCGGCUGUCACUUACAGAUGGACCCGCGGCGCAUUAGCUAGUUGGUGGGGUAAUGGCUCACCAAGGCGACGAUGCGUAGCCGACCUGAGAGGGUGAUCGGCCACACUGGGACUGAGACACGGCCCAGACUCCUACGGGAGGCAGCAGUAGGGAAUCUUCCGCAAUGGACGAAAGUCUGACGGAGCAACGCCGCGUGAGUGAUGAAGGUUUUCGGAUCGUAAAGCUCUGUUGUUAGGGAAGAACAAGUACGAGAGUAACUGCUCGUACCUUGACGGUACCUAACCAG